GAAGUCUCCAUGAGGGGACUGAAGGGCGGCAGCCAUAUUGGCUGGCUGGAGCGGGCUGUUACAGAGGCACGGGGAUGAUGCUUAGGAUGCAUCUGAGUCCAGUGCUGUGCUGCUGGGAAGGACAAGCUGACUUGCUGUGAAUGCCCUCUCCAUCUGAACUCAGGUGUAAAUAUGCAUAAAUAAAUAGUAUUUAGAAGACACUGCAGACACCCUGGGUGAACACCUGGAAUCCCUGGAAUCAUGCUACCACUCAGCAGAGAUUGUGGGUGGCGUGGAACUCUAGUUAUGUAAGUACUUGGUAUAAGGCUGCAUAUACACAAAGCCAUUUGCAGCACAAAAAUUAAGUUUUCCUCAAUCCCAAAUUGUUGAUGAUCGUCCUGAACAUGGUGCUUCAAUCUAGAUCCAUCUGCCAUCCACACAGGUGGCUAUGCUUACUUGAAAGCUUUUCUCUUGAGUAGGUUAUCCAUGCCAUUCCCCCCCUGCACAUGCCCCAGGUGAAUGAAGAAAUAAUAAUAAUAAUUUAUUUAUACUCCCGCCCAUCUGGCUGAGUUUUCCCAGCCACUCUGGGUGGCUUCCAAUCAAGUGUUAAAAACAAUACAGCAUUAAAUAUUAAAAACUUCACUAAACUGGGAAAGAAAGAAGUAGUGAUGGCGAUAUUAGUGUAUAUACCCACCCAGAACGUAAUAGGGCAGCUGUGGACACUCCCCAACCCUAUUGCCACGGCUGCCUACAUCUGUUUUAACCUGUUUUCAAGUGGACAUACUGCAGGGUAAUGCAGAAUCAAUCUGCAGUAAAUUUCUAUUCUUUAAAUGAAACUGGUUUCUCAAGUACUUUUCAGUGGCAAAAAAUAUGCAGUAGAACUAGAUUGUGCAUAGAAUAAAAUGCUGUGUGUAUGCAACCUAAGUCACUUUCCUUCUUAUUAGAGAUUUCAGUUUACAAAACAUCAUAUAAACACAAGCUAAGUUCAUAUGUAUUUAUUGUACCCCAACCAGCAUGAGCAUGUUGUUUAGUCGUUCAGUCGUGUCCGACUCUUUGUGACCCCAUGGACCAGAGCACGCCAGGCACUUCUGUCUUCCACUGCCUCCCACAGUUUGGUCAAACUCAUGCUGGUAGCUUCGAGAACACUAUCCAACCAUCUCGUCUUCUGUUGUCCCCUUCUCCUUGUGCCCUCCAUCUUUCCCAACAUCAGGGUCUUUUCUAGGGAGUCUUCUCUUCUCAUGAGGUGGCCAAAGUAUUGGAGCCUCAGCUUCACGAUCUGUCCUUCCAGUGAGCACUCAGGGCUGAUUUCCUUAAGAAUGGAUAGGUUUGAUCUUCCUGCAGUCCAUGGGACUCCAGCAACAUAAUUCAAAAGCAUCAAUUCUUCGGCGACCAGCCUUCUUUAUGGUCCAGCUCUCAUUUCCAUACAUCACUACUGGGAAAACCAUAGCUUUUACUAUACGGACCUUUGUUGGCAAGGUGAUGUUUCUCCUUUUUAAGAUGCUGUCUAGGUUUGUCAUUGGUUUUCUCCCAUAAAGCAGGUGCCUUUUAAUUUCGUGGCUGCUGUCACCAUGAGCAUAUAUUGUUCAAAAAAAUUUUUUUAAUUGAUUUUUUAUGCACAGGUUCAAAAUCUUUUGAUAGUUAAAAUCUGUGAGACAUUGCAAAAACUGCCAAAUCUUUUGAAACAAUUUAUAAAGGCCCAUCCAUCAGAUAGCACUGUUUGUGUGCCUGGCUGUUGUUAACCUGUAGGUGUGGUAGUGUAUCUUCCAGUAACAUGUACAUCUGCAAAUAGGAAAGGAUGAAAGUUCUGUGGAACUGGGGUAAGGCAGACCUGUGGGGAGAAAAAAGAACAGAUCAGACAGAAAGUACUUUUCCAACUAAUCAGUAUUCUACUAGUAUUUGGGUCCCCCCCCCCGCAGUGUGCUGUUUCAGCAACGGUUAGGAAACAUAUUGAACAAAUAUUCGGAACAGCACAAAUAAAAUACAAACUUACUGGCACAGAACUAAGUUUACAGCUUUAUGUCUAGAAAGAGCAAUGGAAUAAUUUAGAGCAAUUUUGGACACUAUCAAGUGACACAUUAUUUUUAGAUUUUAAUACUGUGGGUUUUGACCCAAAUGCAGUAAAAUAUAUUCUCUAAACUUGGAUGUACCAUGCAAAGUGCCAUCAGGACCAGACACUAUAAACUAGGAUUGGCGUAUAAUUUCAGGGAGAAGAGAUUGUAAUGGAGACGGUAUUGUUGCCUUCUUUUAUGAGGAGAAUGAAGUGUUAUAAAUGCUGAAGAUCCUUUCAACUAGAACUGAACAUACUUCAAAAAUAUUCCCAACUUCUUGAUAUGCCAUAAUCAAUAUAAGAAUUCUUUAUUGGCAAAAAGAAUGUUUCCCCUGCACGUUAUCUAUUUAUCCCAAUAUUAGAUCCAUACCUGCUUUUAAAUCAGAUGAUUAAUGUAAUGUGCAGCUAGCAAUUGCAGAUUUAAUGAUCGCAUUUCCCACAUGUUAUGAAUGAUGCCACCUCUUUUCAGCAAGGAGUUGUUUUGUUACGUUAUCAGUGUGACAUCUGCAUGACAUCUGUUUCAUUUUGGUACCGGAGGCUCCUGCUAUCUACUCAAAUACUCAGCAAGAGAAAGUUCUAUGAAUAAAUCCCAAACUCCCUUCUGCCUACCCUAGAAUUAGCCCGAUUUAAAAUGCAAAUUAAGAAAACUAAGAGAAGCAACCCCUGUUAAUCUAGCAUAUGCUAUUGCCCAGUGUGGGAUCUUUGAGGAUGAGAAAGUGCAAUUUUUCAAAACCACUCAAUGAGUCAAUUGCCAGGGGUUCCUAACUGAGCAUGAAAACUUGUAAUUCCAUUAAGAUGGGGAAAACAGUAGGUCUGGCUGGAUCACUAGGAUGUCUGUGAGGGAAGAAGACGGAACGGGGAAAGUCAAUGACUCCCAGCAACAAAUCUUCUGCUGCAUAGUCUACAUACACAUUAGUGGCUUAAAAUGCAGCAUGGCCAUUUCCCCCCACUGUGUUUCAUGUGGCAUUUGCACACUAUUCUACACACACACCAGAGAGGGGUAGGGGAUGCCUUCACCCAAUGCACAUUAACUGUUUGGUUUUCAUGCACCUAUACCUCCCUCCUAAUCAUUAAGCGGUUAUCUGUGCCUGGCACUGUCAUUCAUAUACAGUAUGUGCAAAGGCUGUCUCAAACGUACACACCUCAGCUAAAAUGCAUCGUGAAUGUGGCUGAAGUUUUACUUCCUGAUUGAAGUUGAUUUGAGAGAAAACGUUUCAAGCAGCGAUAUUUCUCAAGAAACUACAGGAUAGUUCUGCAUUGUGGGCAACGUUGGGCGUACAUGGAUUCAAAAAGCCAGAGGUGGGAGUGCAUUGGGGCCAGAGUAAAUGGUAAUGUGUACAGAGCCAUUUCCCUGUGUGGAGUGGAAAGGCUUGAAAGCCAAUUUAGCUGGGAAGAGAGAUGCCCAGUUCUGUGUUGGUUCAAUGAAGAAAUAUUGAAAGGAGAAUUCCCAGAUGCUAAGAGGCAAGUUUGGGGCACAAAUUCUUUGGCGAGAGAACCCUAGCAGAAAUUUAAAAUCACGAAAUAGGCAGCAAAUACAGUCUGUUAGACCUUUAAAAUAUGCCCUUUACAGUGAAUUCCAAAGUUUCUCUCUUACCCAGCAUAGAAAAAGACCACACAUUUGGUAAAUAAAAAAAUAAUUUACUUACAAACUCUUCAAAGGUCAGGUUCAUGCGCUUCAGAAAGUUGCACAGGCAGUAAAACUUAGCUUAAUUACAAAAUGUUGAAAGUUCCUAAAUUAUUGGUAUAGGAAUUCAAGAGUGACCUAUGCUAAGCCUCUCAGGACAGCUUAUUCUGUGGUAUUAUCCCCUUCAUGCAUUCAUUAGACUUAACCAUGCUGGUUAUAUGAGACUUGUUAUCCCACAUUCUGAAGGUCAAGCCACAUCCUAGUCUUCCCACUCCAACUCAGGUCAAGUCCACAUGCUACCUGGGCUGUUUCAAAACAGUCUAACAAACUCAGAUACCACCACUUAUUUGGACCUUGCCCUUCACAGUUCUGUUAGUGCUCAUGGAUGCCCUGAACACCUAAAAUAUUUUUCACAGGGAGAGAGACAG
rnacentral:lncRNA from 1 species